CUAGCUGUAAACGAUGGAUACUAGGCGUUGAGAGUAUCGACCCUCUCAGUGUCGUAGCUAACGCGUUAAGUAUCCCGCCUGGGGAGUACGCGCGCAAGCGUGAAACUCAAAGGAAUUGACGGGGGCCCGCACAAGCGGUGGAGUAUGCGGUUUAAUUCGAUGCAACGCGAAGAACCUUACCAGGGCUUGACAUGUCCGGAACCCUGCCCAAAGGCGGGGGUGCCUACGGGAACCGGAACACAGGUGGUGC
rnacentral:rRNA from 1 species